CAUCCAACGGAAUACCAAGCGCGCCCGUCACGGUCUCUUCUAAUUUGAAUGGAAAACGUGGCAAAAGGGCGUAACUCGUUGGAGGGUCCAUGACGAAGCGGCGUGUGGCGUGCUGGCGGCGAGUUGAGCCAGUGCAGUGACUCUUGGCUGGUUCAGAAGAUUAAAGCUCUAACCAGCUCAAAUUCAAAUGUCACUUUCAUUGAACACGCGCAUCGCACGCGUGAAACUUUAAGAAUAUGCCAUUAGUAUAUCUCAAUGGUCAAACUGUUUUUGUCCGCUUGGUGGGCUAAUGCCAUGCAACACUAAUUAAUUAAUUAUUCUUU
rnacentral:lncRNA from 1 species